rnacentral:rRNA from 1 species
GACGAACGCUGGCGGCGUGCUUAACACAUGCAAGUCGAGCGGAGCGGCGAACGGGUGAGUAACGCGUGAGUAACUGCCCCCCUCCCUGGGAUAACAGUUGGAACCGGCUGCUAAUACCGGAUAGUGGGGGAUGAUUCGCGUCCUAUCUGCUUGUCGGUGGGGUAGUGGCCUACCAAGGGGACGACGGGUAGCCGGCCUGAGAGGGGGACCGGCCACAUUAGUCUAAGAUACGGCCCAAACUCCUACGGGAGGCAGCAGUGGGGAAUAUUGCACAAUGGGGUAAUCCCUUAUGCGGCAACGCCGCGUGCGGGAUGACGGCCUUCGGGUUGUAAACCGCUUUCAGCCAUGACUCGGUAGUGGCAGAAGAAGCACCGGCUAACUACGUGCCAGCAGCCGCGGUAAUAC